AGCUUGGAAUCAAGAAUGACUCCAACGUACUUUACCUGUUCAGUCACAUCGAUUUCAGAAUCAAAGAGACGCAAAGGUCGAACGCCAUUACGGUUUCGCCUUUCCGUGAAAAGAACAAUAGAUGUUUUACUCGGAUUAACCGAAAGGCCAUAUUGGCGACACCAACCCUCAACUACCUGAAGGGCGUUUUGCAUCAGGUCGAAAAGGGUGCUGAUGCACAUACCAACUAACAAUGUUAGGUAGUCGUCGGCAAAACCAUAAGUAGGAAAACCGCUAUUAUUGAGUUGCCUCAAUAGCGUAUCUGCUACGAGAUUCCACAAAAGCGGUGAUAAGACUCCCCCUUGGGGGCAUCCACAAACACUCAAUUUCCUAAUCCCUGCUAGACGCAAUGUCGAGAAGAGAUAUCGGUUUUUGAGCAUUUGGUGAAUCCAAUUGGAAAUCAUUGGAGAUAUACCAUGACUCCGUGCGGCUUCCAAUAUGGCAUCGAAAGGCACGUUGUCAAAGGCACCCUCGAUAUCUAAGAAAACACCCAAACAAGAUUGCUUUUGAGCGAAUGCUUUCUCGAUAUCGUAAACAACCUUGUGUAAAAGAGUCACAGUGGACUUAGGACAUCAGGAUCAUCCGAAGAUGUAAUAUCCACACAUCCAGGGAAGUGUGUGCUGAAUAAGCAUUCCAGAACUUCCUCAUCAGAGGAAGUCAGAUCGCCAUUUGGCAAACGAAGUUCGUUCACCCGGAAAUCCUUAGAUUUCGCAAGGAUUUUGUUUAACCGACUGACUUCACUCAAGCUGGAAACAUUUGUACAAAGGUUUUUCCAGCCGGAUCGUUCAGCAGACC